rnacentral:rRNA from 1 species
UGGACCGGCAAGUCCCUUGUGAAAUCGGACGGCUUAACCGUUCGGCUUGCAAGGGAAACUGUUGGUCUUGGGGCCGGUAGGCGCCGAGGGUACUCCAGGGGUAGCGGUGAAAUGCUAUAAUCCCUGGGGGACCGCCAGUGGCGAAAGCGCUCGGCGGGGCCGGACCCGACGGUGAGGGACGAAGGCCAGGGGAGCGAACCGGAUUAGAUACCCGGGUAGUCCUGGCUGUAAAGUAUGUGGGUUAGGUGCCGGACGUUCCUCGAGAGCGGUCGGUGCCGAAGGGAAGCCGUUAAGCCCACCGCCUGGGAA